ensembl:lncRNA
GGAAGAUUGCAGAGUGUUUUUUCAGACAGGACCUCUUCAGUCCCAGCACAGUGGACAUGUCAGCAUGUUGUGAGAAAAAAGAGAAGGCAGCACCGAGAGCCACACCCUUGGAGGAAAGCAUAUUCUAGCAAAAAAAGUAACUAGAGUUCCUGGACACUUAGAGAUCCUGUUGAGUUAGAUAUGGCAGUUUACCAGGAAGUUCUUACUAGCUUUCAGACCUUACAGGGGAAAGGGAAGUGAGUAUUUCACAAGCAGUGGUAACAUAAAGAAGAUGCAGGUAAGAGUAACCACUUUGCUUGGUUUACAGAUCGUGAAAGAAGCAUUACGACUACUCUUAAAGGCUGAAAAUCUAAUGACACGAUUACAUGGACAUUUCUGGAUGGCCGCAAAGCCUCCGAAAAGAUUGGUUUGAGAGAGGGCGGAGAAAGAAGGCUUGGCGUUCAAAGGUAAUGUAUGUGGGUGAAAGGGCCUGGAACUGCAAAUACUACAAUGUGCAGUGCUGUGCUUUUUUUCCAACGUGUUUGUUCACUGGACCUUUUUGAAGUCGUCAUGCAUGGUUCACAUGAAGUGUAGCUGAAUAAUGGAGGUAACUGUUAUAGACCUGAAUAAAUGCAGUUGGAACCAGAGCCGUACAAUGCAUUCAUAAAGUAUUCAGACCCCCCUAAUUUACACACAAUACCCCAUAAUGACAAAGCUAAAACAGGUUAAGACAUUUUUGCAAAUGUAUUUUUUUUUAAACGUAUCACAUUUACAUAAGUAUUCAGACCCUUUACUCUGUACUUUGUUGAAGCACCUUUGGCAACGAUUACACCCUCGAGUUUCUCCCAUUCUUUGCAGAUGCUUAAGCUCUGUCAGGUUGGAUGAGGAGUGACGCUGCACAGAUAUUUUCAGGUCUCUCCAGAGAUGUUCGAACAGGUUCAAAUCCGGGCUCUGGCUGGGCCACUCAAGGACAUUCAGAGACUUGCCAAAGCCACUCCUGUGUUGUCUUGACUGUGUUCUUAGGGUCUUUGUCACUUUGGACAUUCAGAGACUUGCCAAAGCCACUCCUGUGUUGUCUUGACUGUGUUCUUAGGGUCUUUGUCACUUUUAGACACUUUCUAUUGGAAGGUGAACCUCCGCCCUAGUCUGAGGUCCUGAGCACUCUGGAGCAGGUUUUCAACAAGUAUCUCUUUUUACUUUGCUCCGUUCAUCUUUCCCCCGAUCCGGACUAGUUUCCCAGUCCCUGCCUCUGAAAAACAUCCCCACAGCAUGAUGCUGCCUCAACCAUGCUUCACCGUAGGGAUGGUAUUGGCCAGGUGAUGAGCGGUGCCUGGUUUCCUCCAGAUGUAACGCUUGACAUUCAGGCCAUAAGUUCAAUCUUGGUUUCAUCAGACCAAAGAAUCUUGUUUCCAUCGUCUGAGAGCCUUUAGGCAAACUCCAAGCGGGCUCUCGUGCCUUUUUACUGAGGAGUGGCUUCUGUCUGGCCACUCUAUAAAGGCCUGACUGGUGGAGUGCUGCAGAGAUAGUUGUCCUUCUGGAAGGUUCUCCCAUUUCCACAGAGGAACUGUGGUGCUCUGACAGUGACAAUUGGAUUCUUGGUCACCUCCCUGAGCAAGGCCCUUCUCCCCCGAUUGCUCAGUUUGACUGGGCAUGCCAGCUCUAGGAAGAGUCUUGGUGGUUCCAAAAUUCUUCCAUUUAAGAAUGGAGGCCACUGUGUUCUUGGGGAUCUUCAACGUUGCAGAAACGUUUUGAUACCCUUCCCCAGAUCUGUGCCCGACAUUAUCCUGUCUUGGAGCUCUAAUUCCUUCGACCUCAUGGCUUGGUUUUUGCUCUGACGUGCACUGUCAACUGUGAGACCUUAUAUAGAUAGGUGUGUGUCUUUGCAAAUCAUGUCCAAUCAAUUAAAUUUACCACAGGUGGACUCCAAUCAAGUUGUAGAAACAGUUCAAGGAUGAUCAAUGGAAACAGGAUGCACCUGAGCUCAAUUUCGAGUCUCAUAGCAAAUGGUCUGAAUAUUUACGUAAAUCAGGUAUUUCUGUUUUUUAUACAUUUGCAAACAUUUCUAAAAACCUGUUUUCGUAUUGUCAUUGUGGGGUUUUGGGUGUAGAUUGAUGGGGGAGAUAGAAUAAGGCUGUAACGUAACAAUGUGGAAAAGGGGAAGGGGUCUGAAUACUUUCCGAAUGCACUGUAUAUUUAGUUAGGACUACUUGUAUAAUAUUAUUCAAAUUCUAGACAUUCAGUUACAUAGCAUUGUUUAAAUUCUCCCCAAUGUUAAUGGGGCGCUAGCAUGGCUGUAAUAGAAUGUUGAAGUGUCAUGUCUGGUUGGAACUAUGUUUUAUUUAAGUGUUUUAGCUUUCACAAAAUAUUUUUAUAGAUUUUAAAAGAUUCAGUUCAUAAUAUUCAAAACUAAGUUUAAUGUACAUCAUGGGCUUUCUGUUUUGUGGACAAUAAACAAGACGAUUGAAAAAAAA